CCUACGGGUGGCAGCAGUGGGGAAUAUUGCACAAUGGGGGAAACCCUGAUGCAGCGACGCCGCGUGAGUGAUGAAGUAUUUCGGUAUGUAAAGCCCUAUCAGCAGGGAAGAAAAUGACGGUAUCUGAUUAAGAAGCACCGGCUAACUACGUGCCAGCAGCCGCGGUAAUACGUAGGGGGCAAGCGUUAUCCGGAUUUACUGGGUGUAAAGGGAGCGUAGACGGGAGCACAAGUCUGGAGUGAAAUGCCGUGGCUUAACCCCGGAACUGCAUUGGAAACUGUGCAGCUAGAGUGCAGGAGAGGUAAGUGGAAUUCCUGGUGUAGCGGUGAAAUGCGUAGAGAUUAGGAGGAACACCAGUUGCGAAGGCGGCUUACUGGACUAUAACUGACGUUGAUGCGCGAAAGCGUGGGGAGCAAACAGGAUUAGAUACCCCUGUAGUC
rnacentral:rRNA from 1 species